GACGAACGCUGGCGGCGUGCCUAAUACAUGCAAGUAGAACGCUGAAGGAGGAGCUUGCUUCUCUGGAUGAGUUGCGAACGGGUGAGUAACGCGUAGGUAACCUGCCUGGUAGCGGGGGAUAACUAUUGGAAACGAUAGCUAAUACCGCAUAAUAGUAGAUGUUGCAUGACAUUUGCUUAAAAGGUGCAAUUGCAUCACUACCAGAUGGACCUGCGUUGUAUUAGCUAGUUGGUGAGGGAACGGCUCACCAAGGCAACGAUACAUAGCCGACCUGAGAGGGGGGUCGGCCACACUGGGACUGAGACACGGCCCAGACUCCUACGGGAGGCAGCAGGAGGGAAUCUUCGGCAAUGGACGGAAGUCUGACCGAGCAACGCCGCGUGAGUGAAGAAGGUUUUCGGAUCGUAAAGCUCGGUUGUAAGAGAAGAACGAGUGUGAGAGUGGAAAGUUCACACUGUGACGGUAUCUUACCAGAAAGGGACGGCUAACUACGUG
rnacentral:rRNA from 1 species